rnacentral:rRNA from 1 species
ACAGCAGCCGCCGCGGGAAUACGUAGGUGGCAAGCGUUAUCCGGAAUUAUUGGGCGUAAAGCGCGCGUAGGCGGUUUUUUAAGUCUGAUGUGAAAGCCCGCGGCUCAACCGUGGAGGGUCAUUGGAAACUGGAAAACUUGAGUGCAGAAGAGGAAAGUGGAAUUCCAUGUGUAGCGGUGAAAUGCGCAGAGAUAUGGAGGAACACCAGUGGCGAAGGCGACUUUCUGGUCUGUAACUGACGCUGAUGUGCGAAAGCGUGGGGAUCAAACAGGAUUAGAUACCCCGGUAGUCCCUGUCUCUUAUAC